rnacentral:rRNA from 1 species
GGCGGCGUGCUUAACACAUGCAAGUCGAACGGUGAAGCCCUUCGGGGUGGAUCAGUGGCGAACGGGUGAGUAACACGUGGGCAAUCUGCCCUGCACUCUGGGACAAGCCCUGGAAACGGGGUCUAAUACCGGAUAUGACCUUCCUCCGCAUGGGGGUUGGUGGAAAGCUCCGGCGGUGCAGGAUGAGCCCGCGGCCUAUCAGCUUGUUGGUGGGGUAAUGGCCUACCAAGGCGACGACGGGUAGCCGGCCUGAGAGGGCGACCGGCCACACUGGGACUGAGACACGGCCCAGACUCCUACGGGAGGCAGCAGUGGGGAAUAUUGCACAAUGGGCGAAAGCCUGAUGCAGCGACGCCGCGUGAGGGAUGACGGCCUUCGGGUUGUAAACCUCUUUCAGCAGGGAAGAAGCGCAAGUGACGGUACCUGCAGAAGAAGCACCGGCUAACUACGUGCCAGCAGCCGCGGUAAUACGUAGGGUGCGAGCGUUGUCCGGAAUUAUUGGGCGUAAAGAGCUCGUAGGCGGCCUGUCGCGUCGGAUGUGAAAGCCCGGGGCUUAACCCCGGGUCUGCAUUCGAUACGGGCAGGCUGGAGUGUGGUAGGGGAGAUCGGAAUUCCUGGUGUAGCGGUGAAAUGCGCAGAUAUCAGGAGGAACACCGGUGGCGAAGGCGGAUCUCUGGGCCAUUACUGACGCUGAGGAGCGAAAGCGUGGGGAGCGAACAGGAUUAGAUACCCUGGUAGUCCACGCCGUAAACGUUGGGAACUAGGUGUUGGCGACAUUCCACGUCGUCGGUGCCGCAGCUAACGCAUUAAGUUCCCCGCCUGGGGAGUACGGCCGC